AUACGUAGGUGGCAAGCGUUGUCCGGAUUUACUGGGCGUAAAGGGUACGUAGGCGGCCAGAUAAGUCAGAUGUGAAAGGCAUGGGCUUAACCCGUGUUAGCAUUUGAAACUGUGUGGCUUGAGUUAAGGAGAGGAAAGUGGAAUUCCUGGUGUAGCGGUGAAAUGCGUAGAUAUCAGGAGGAAUACCAGUGGCGAAGGCGACUUUCUGGACUUAAACUGACGCUGAGGUACGAAAGCGUGGGGAGCAAACAGGAUUAGAGACCCUGGUAGUCCACGCCGUAAACGAUGAGUGCUAGGUGUCGGGGGUCGAACCUCGGUGCCGGAGCUAACGCAUUAAGCACUCCGCCUGGGGAGUACGUUCGCAAGAAUGAA
rnacentral:rRNA from 1 species